CAAUUACUCACCAUUUUUUGGAGGCGACCAACAUCUCAGAACUGAAUGGAAAGAGGCAUCAUCACCUUGGUUGGUUGGUUAAGUUUAUUUAUUUGGUCAGUUGUUGUGAUGAGUGCUCAAGUUCAUGGAGAUCAAUUAAUAGACAUUACUUUUCUAAAGAGUGCUAUUCCAAAAGGAGCAGUUUGCUUAGAUGGCAGUCCACCUGCUUACUCCUAUUUUGAGGGAUAUGGAAAUGGCUCAAACAGUUGGAUUGUUUAUUUGCAGGUA